GGCCAAGUGGUGUAGUGGUAGCAUACUUGCUUUGGGAAUUUCUGAUUCCAUCUUUACAAGAUUGCAAGUGGUCCUGGGUUCAAGCCCCAGCUUGGCCC